rnacentral:rRNA from 1 species
UACAGAGGUGGCAAGCGUUGUUCGGAAUUACUGGGCGUAAAGGGCGCGUAGGCGGCUCUCUAAGUCAGACGUGAAAUCCCCCGGCUUAACCUGGGAACUGCGUCUGAUACUGGAGGGCUUGAGUAUGGGAGAGGGAUGUAGAAUUCCAGGUGUAGCGGUGAAAUGCGUAGAUAUCUGGAGGAAUACCGGUGGCGAAGGCGGCAUCCUGGACCAUUACUGACGCUGAGGCGCGAAAGCUAGGGGAGCAAACGGG